rnacentral:tRNA from 1 species
GCCUCGGUGGUGUAGUGGUCAAGCGCUCGCCUGGUAAUCAGGAGGGCGUGGGUUCGAUCCCAGCCGAGGUA